GCCAGUGUGGCUCAGUGGUUAGAGCGUCGGCCUGCGGACUGAAGGGUCCCGGGUUCGAUUCCCAGACAAGGGCC
rfam:Myotis lucifugus cont2.62307, whole genome shotgun sequence.